rnacentral:rRNA from 1 species
GACGAACGCUGGCGGCGUGCUUAACACAUGCAAGUCGAACGGUGAAGGGGUCUGCUUUUGUGGGCCCUGGAUGAGUGGCGAACGGGUGAGUAACACGUGAGUAACCUGCCCCCUUCUUCUGGAUAACCGCAUGAAAGUGUGGCUAAUACGGGAUAUUCUGGGUCUGUCGCAUGAUGGGUCUGGGAAAGAUUGCGCCUUUGGGUGUUUGUGGUGGGGGAUGGGCUCGCGGCCUAUCAGCUUGGUGGUGGGGUGAUGGCCUACCAAGGCGGUGACGGGUAGCCGGACGGAGCGGGCGGACGCUCACACUGGGACUGAGACACGGCCCAGACUACUACGGGAGGCAGCCGUGGGGAAUAUUGCACAAGGGGCGCAAGCCUGAUGCAGCGACGCCGCGUGAGGGAUGGAGGCCUUCGGGUUGUAAACCUCUUUCGCCAGUGAAGCAGGCCUGCUCCGUGUGGGUGGGUUGACGGUAGCUGGAUAAGAAGCGCCGGCUAACUACGUG